UCACAAUGGCGUUUGUCAAAAAAGUAAAUAAAAUAAAUACAGGAGGAAGAUUUAUUUGAUGUUCUCUAAAUUCUUUGUAAAACUUGGAAGAACGCAGGCAGCAAAUUGCGAUAAAAUGGAGAGAGAUAAAAUAGAGAAGUGAAAUGUAGUUGGAGGAAGACAAGAUCAUGCUCAUUGUGCCUCCUCAGAACCCACUUCCAAUAGAAAAUAUAAAGGAGAUAUGUUUGUCCCACAUCUGCAGAAUAAAUUGCAACAAUAGAAGUGCAACACAGAAAAGAGUUGCAUGCUAUUCAGAUGGACAAUGAGCUCCAGUGAAAUAAAAAA